rnacentral:rRNA from 1 species
UGAACGCUGGCGGCAGGCCUAACACAUGCAAGUCGAGCGGAUGGAGGGAGCUUGCUCCUGAUUCAGCGGCGGACGGGUGAGUAAUGCCUAGGAAUCUGCCUGGUAGUGGGGGACAACGUCUCGAAAGGGACGCUAAUACCGCAUACGUCCUACGGGAGAAAGCAGGGGACCUUCGGGCCUUGCGCUAUCAGAUGAGCCUAGGUCGGAUUAGCUAGUUGGUGAGGUAAUGGCUCACCAAGGCGACGAUCCGUAACUGGUCUGAGAGGAUGAUCAGUCACACUGGGACUGAGACACGGCCCAGACUCCUACGGGAGGCAGCAGUGGGGAAUCUUGCCCAAUGGGCGAAAGCCUGAGGCAGCGACGCCGCGUGCGCGAAGAAGGCCUUCGGGUUGUAAACCGCUUUCAGGAGGGACGAAGCCACUCGGGUGAAUAGCCCAGAGGGUGACGGUACCUCCAGAAGAAGCCCCGGCUAACUACGUGCCAGCAGCCGCGGUAAUACGUAGGGGGCAAGCGUUGUCCGGAUUUAUUGGGCGUAAAGAGCGUGUAGGCGGCUAGAUAGGUCCGUUGUGAAAACUCGAGGCUCAACCUCGAGACGUCGAUGGAAACCAUCUGGCUAGAGUCCGGAAGAGGAGAGUGGAAUUCCUGGUGUAGCGGUGAAAUGCGUAGAUAUCAGGAGGAACACCGGUGGUGUAGACGGCUUACUGGACCAUAACUGACGCUGAGACACGAAAGCGUGGGUAGCAAACAGGAUUAGAUACCCUGGUAGUCCACGCCCUAAACGAUGCAUAUUUGGUGUGGGUCAUUCAUUUGAUCCGUGCCGGAGCUAACGCGUUAAAUAUGCCGCCUGGGGAGUACAGUCGCAAGGCUGAA